AGGAGGCGACCUCAGAAGCCUCUCCGUCCCCAGGUUGCGAGACAAGUGCGUGGAGAAGGGCAUCAUUGCCAAGAGCAUUGCAGCGAAGUUGCGGAAGGCGGAAUUGAUCGCGCGCCUCGAGGAGCACGCCCAGA
rnacentral:SRP_RNA from 1 species